GGGGCUUUGGCUCAGUGGUAGAGUGCUUGCCUAGGAAGCGCAAGGUCCUGGGUUCGGUCCCCAGCCCCG
rnacentral:tRNA from 1 species